CAGCAUCUCAGUUAAAACUUUGACAAAUUUCUAUAGAUGAGUCGUAAGCAGUAUAUUGACUGGUUGCGUCACAGCCUGCUAUGGAAAGAUUUCCCUUGAACGGAAAAUCCGACAAAAUGUAAUGGAUACGACCCAGUCCAUCAUGGUAGAGCCCUCCUCACCAUCGAGCACAUCUACAUGAAACAUUGUCGCAGGAAAGCGGUAUCCAGCAUCAGGGAGCCCCACCAUCCAACUCGGGCUCUCUUCUCGCUACUGCCAUCAGGAAAAAGGUACAGGAGCCUCUGGACUCACACUACCAGACCCAGGUCCUUGAAUCAAAGAGGAUGACUUCACUCAACUCCACUUCACACAUCAUUAAAAUGUUCCCACAACCUAUGGACUCACUUCCAAGGCAGCCACAAAACAAAGAAACCCAGGAGAACCCAUCAAAAAAAAGGCCGUCAAACAUCCAAAGUGCAGAAAAGAAGACAAAUCGUGCAACAAUAAAAAUAAGCAAAUAACAUUCAGAACUGAAGUUCACAAAGAUGGUGCUCAGACAGCCCUCAUGCUGAAGGUUUCCUGUUGUAGCCACGCAGGGGAGGAGACACGGUGGCUGUGUGGCGCAGCGGACUUGGGAGCUGGCCGCUCCCAUCAUUGCUGCCCUCUGGUACUCACUCGGAGGAAGACAACCAGGACUGCAUUUGCCUGUGGCUGCACUGGCAUGUGUUGAGGAACUGCUGCAUGCUUGUUCUUGCAGAGACGUGGCUCCGGGAUAACAUCCCAUUAACCAUCAAUCUACAGGCCACACACUCAGGGACUUGGGCUAUAUUUACUUUGUGACCGUAUGUUUUUCUGCUGUUGUAAGCAUAUGUGCUUUGUACUGUGUGUGACUGUUUGUACUGCGUUUUG